rnacentral:rRNA from 1 species
UACGAAGGGUGCUAGCGUUGCUCGGAAUCACUGGGCGUAAAGGGCGCGUAGGCGGGUCUUUAAGUCGGGGGGGAAAGCCUGAGGCUCAACCUCAGAAUUGCCUUCGAUACUGGAGAUCUUGAGACCGGAAGAGGUAAGUGGAACUGCGAGUGUAGAGGUGAAAUUCGUAGAUAUUCGCAAGAACACCAGUGGCGAAGGCGGCUUACUGGUCCGGUUCUGACGCUGAGGCGCGAAAGCGUGGGGAGCAAACAGG